UACGUAGGGUGCGAGCGUUAAUCGGAAUUACUGGGCGUAAAGCGUGCGCAGGCGGUCUUUUAAGUCAGAUGUGAAAUCCCCGGGCUUAACCUGGGAACUGCGUUUGAAACUGGAAGGCUUGAGUGUGGCAGAGGGGGGUGGAAUUCCACGUGUAGCAGUGAAAUGCGUAGAUAUGUGGAGGAACACCGAUGGCGAAGGCAAUCCCCUGGACCUGUACUGACGCUCAUGCACGAAAGCGUGGGGAGCAAACAGG
rnacentral:rRNA from 1 species